UACGAAGGGGGCUAGCGUUGCUCGGAAUCACUGGGCGUAAAGGGCGCGUAGGCGGCCAUUCAAGUCGGGGGUGAAAGCCUGUGGCUCAACCACAGAAUUGCCUUCGAUACUGUUUGGCUUGAGUAUGGUAGAGGUUGGUGGAACUGCGAGUGUAGAGGUGAAAUUCGUAGAUAUUCGCAAGAACACCGGUGGCGAAGGCGGCCAACUGGACCAU
rnacentral:rRNA from 1 species